AUGAACGCUGGCGGCGUGCCUAAUACAUGCAAGUCGGGCGAACGGACGAGAAGCUUGCUUCUCUGAUGUUAGCGGCGGACGGGUGAGUAACACGUGGAUAACCUACCUAUAAGACUGGGAUAACUUCGGGAAACCGUAGCUAAUACCGGAUAAUAUUUUGAACCGCAUGGUUCAAAAGUGAAAGACGGUCUUGCUGUCACUUAUAGAUGGAUCCGCGCUGCAUUAGCUAGUUGGUAAGGUAACGGCUUACCAAGGCAACGAUGCAUAGCCGACCUGAGAGGGUGAUCGGCCACACUGGAACUGAGGCACGGUCCAGACUCCUACGGGAGGCAGCAGUAGGGAAUCUUCCGCAAUGGGCGAAAGCCUGACGGAGCAACGCCGCGUGAGUGAUGAAGGUCUUCGGAUCGUAAAACUCUGUUAUUAGGGAAGAACAUAUGUGUAAGUAACUGUGCACAUCUUGACGGUACCUAAUCAGAAAGCCACGGCUAACUACGUG
rnacentral:rRNA from 1 species